ACGCUGGCGGCGUGCCUAACACAUGCAAGUCGAACGAAGCGACUCAAAGUUUUUCGGACAGAGAGUUGACUGAGUGGCGGACGGGUGAGUAACGCGUGGGUAACCUGCCUUAUACAGGGGGAUAACAGUUAGAAAUGACUGCUAAUACCGCAUAAGCGCACAGUAUCGCAUGAUACAGUGUGAAAAACUCCGGUGGUAUAAGAUGGACCCGCGUCUGAUUAGCUAGUUGGUGAGGUAACGGCUCACCAAGGCGACGAUCAGUAGCCGGCCUGAGAGGGUGAACGGCCACAUUGGGACUGAGACACGGCCCAAACUCCUACGGGAGGCAGCAGUGGGGAAUAUUGCACAAUGGGGGAAACCCUGAUGCAGCGACGCCGCGUGAGUGAAGAAGUAUUUCGGUAUGUAAAGCUCUAUCAGCAAGGAAGAAAAUGACGGUACUUGACUAAGAAGCCCCGGCUAACUACGUG
rnacentral:rRNA from 1 species